UACGUAGGGGGCUAGCGUUGUCCGGAAUCAUUGGGCGUAAAGCGCGCGUAGCGGCCCGGUAAGUCCGCUGUAAAAGUCAAAGGCUCAACCUUUGAAUGUCAGUGGAUACUGCCGGGCUAGAGUCCGGAAGAGGCGAGUGGAACUCCUGGUGUAGCGGUGGAAUGCGCAGAUAUCAGGAAGAACACCGACGGCGAAGGCAGCUCGCUGGGACGGUACUGACGCUGAGGCGCGAAAGCGUGGGGAGCGAACAGG
rnacentral:rRNA from 1 species